rnacentral:rRNA from 1 species
GACGAACGCUGGCGGCGUGCUUAACACAUGCAAGUCGAACGGAAAGGCCCUGCUUUUGUGGGGUGCUCGAGUGGCGAACGGGUGAGUAACACGUGAGUAACCUGCCCUUGACUUUGGGAUAACUUCAGGAAACUGGGGCUAAUACCGGAUAGGAGCUCCUGCUGCAUGGUGGGGGUUGGAAAGUUUCGGCGGUUGGGGAUGGACUCGCGGCUUAUCAGCUUGUUGGUGGGGUAGUGGCUUACCAAGGCUUUGACGGGUAGCCGGCCUGAGAGGGUGACCGGCCACAUUGCGACUGAGGUACGGCCCAGACUCCUACGGGAGGCAGCAGUGGGAAAUAUUGCACAAUGGGCGGAAGCCUGAUGCAGCAACGCCGCGUGCGGAAUGACGGCCUUCGGGUUGUAAACCGCUUUCGCCUGUGACGAAGCGUGAGUGACGGUAAUGGGUAAAGAAGCACCGGCUAACUACGUG